UACGUAGGGUGCAAGCGUUGUCCGGAAUUAUUGGGCGUAAAGAGCUCGUAGGCGGUCUGUCGCGUCGGAUGUGAAAACCCAAGGCUCAACCUUGGGCCUGCAUUCGAUACGGGCAGACUAGAGUUCGGUAGGGGAGACUGGAAUUCCUGGUGUAGAGGUGAAAUUCGUAGAUAUCGAGAGGAACACCGGUGGCGAAGGCGGCCAACUGGACGAACACUGACGCUGAGACACGAAAGCGUGGGGAGCAAACAGG
rnacentral:rRNA from 1 species